UAUGAGGACGCUCAUUGGGCGCAAGUUGUGUCAUAGUUUCUACAUGUAGACAGAUUUGCAUUUUAUUUAUCGGACAAAGAAGCCUGUCUGUCAUUUGAUCAAGGCAUCCCCUGUAGAACGGUUCUUACAGCUCAACAGUUGCUAUGCGUUGGAGUGAUCCUAUUCCUCUCAAGAAUUACAGUGAUGCUCCAAGCGAGCGAGGUGUUUAUCAAAUAGGCUUUGGUACUGCUGAGUUUGAACCAAAGUAUGUUGGUCGGGCAAUGGGCGGUUCGACUACAAUAAGGACUAGACUGAGUGCUCACUACAACUUGAGUGGCAACAACCACAUCACAGCCGCCAAUAGAGCUGGCCUGAUGGCUCGAUGGAUUCAAGUAUCUCACCCCGAUUGCACAGAGGCUAGAAUGCUGAAGAAACAUGAUUUUACAUGGAAUGAAAAACAUGUGCGUGAUUGCGACUCGGACUAGAAGAUCGGACAGUUGAUGCUAUAGCCGGACUAGUACGUAUAGCUGCUCUAACGCCGCCUUUUGGCGUAUAUGUGCUUUGUGAGCUUUGUAGUGUAUUAAACAUGAUUUACUGAUGUCACGAUAA